UAGCUCAUUCCAGGAGUCAGGUUGGACACGACGUAGCUGGUGGCUGUGGCUGGGAUCUCCACCUCCUCCUCCUGGCCGUCCCUGGAGACGUACAUCAGCCUGUAGACGCCGACCUUGGCCCGUGGUUUCUGCCACUUCAAGGUUCAUCUCGUCACCCAAUUAGUAUCAACCAACAUGUCCGUCUGUGUGUUAAUGAAGGAGGACUGUUUGGACAGCUGCUCGGCAGCGUCUCUCACCAGUUGCGGCAUUUGUAGUAGCAGGAAGGCUCUCUCUCUCAUUCUUCACGGCUGUCACACCAAUCCCAUACUCUGUCCCCGGCUUCAGCCCUGCCACACAGAGUCAUAAAGGGAAAAAUGACCACGUGAUAUGACCAACACAAGCCGUGUGUGGUCCUACUUCAUAUAUGUUCAAUCCUUACCAGUGAUAGUGGCUUUUGUGGUGUCUCCCGGUCCUCGUGGGAACAGUUCCUCACCAUGAGUCGCUCCAGAGAUGGGACUGUAUUUCACCAGAUAGUUGCCGACAUCAGCCUGACUGUUGGUCCACUCCAGAGUGAUGCUGUCGUCUGUCUGGGACACAGCCUGCAGGCCGGUGGGGGCGUCCAGCGCUAAUAAAGAUAUAAACAUUUAUAAUCA